GUACCUUUGCAGAACCAGUGAAGAGAAGAAUCUGGGCAUUUAAGGCUUGACCUGUGCAAAGUAUCAUGUAGGAGGAGUGUGUCUCACAGUCAGACACCACUAAUAGUGCAUAGUGGGUGGCCAGUCCUUCUUAUUUUUCUUGGUUUCCUGGUAUGGUUUGAGCCUGGUUUGAGACUCCCCAGUACUUCAGACUUGCUGAUUUCACUGCUGCAGGACCUUUAAAGAGACAUUGCAUUAGAUUUAGGCUCAGCUUUUCAGCUAAUUCAGGAAGAAGAUUUUACAUCCUAAAGCAUGCAGAAAUAUAAUAAAGGUAGUUCUCAGGUCUGCAAGGACUUAAAAGUGUUUCUGCAAGGACUUAAAAGUGUUUCACUUCACGUCGGAGAGCAAUCUCAGGCUUGUGCUUUUGCUGUUUGUGGGGAUGUAACACGAGUCCCAUUUCAUAUGCUUUAGAUUUUAAUAGAUAAUUUGUUAAAGGAAUGAGCACAUUUAUGUUUACUUUUUAAACUGAAAUGAUGCAAUUAAAAUUACAGGAGAUAAAGAAAA